rnacentral:rRNA from 1 species
GUGAGGAAUAUUGGUCAAUGGACGAGAGUCUGAACCAGCCAAGUCGCGUGAAGGAAGACGGUUCUAUGAAUUGUAAACUUCUUUUGUGCAGGAAUAAAGUGGGUUACGUGUAACCUUUUGUAUGUACUGUACGAAUAAGGAUCGGCUAACUCCGUGCCAGCAGCCGCGGUAAUACGGAGGAUCCGAGCGUUAUCCGGAUUUAUUGGGUUUAAAGGGUGCGUAGGUGGAUUGAUAAGUCAGCGGUGAAAGUUUGCAGCUUAACUGUAAAAUUGCCGUUGAAACUGUCGGUCUUGAGUGCAAAUGAGGUAGGCGGAAUGUGUUGUGUAGCGGUGAAAUGCUUAGAUAUAACACAGAACUCCGAUUGCGAAGGCAGCUUACUGGGAUGCAAUUGACACUGAUGCACGAAAGCGUGGGUAUCAAACAGGAUUAGAAACCCGAGUAGUCC